UUUAACCCUAUAGGGUCAGUAAUACAUGUUUGUGUUCCUGACCAUAUAGUGCUCCUUUAAACAUGCUCACUUUUGGGGGGCAUAUUUAUCACUGGUGAUUAGACAACUUUGGACCUUCUACUUUGGCUGGGCAUUUGUUAAUUGGAGUGUCAAAUAGUUUCUCUCAAACCGGAGUUACAACUUAAUUAUGACCAAUAUUUGUACACAUUGUCCAUACAUACACCUUUUGUGCCAUAAAAUUUUUGGUUUCUGAGCAUGAUGCCUAACAUGUUGUUAGCC